GCAUUACCAGGGAUGAUACAGAUGAGGUGACCUUUGGAGCGCUUCAGGAAGACCUGCUAAGAACUGGUCUCUGUCUGUCUAAGCCCUUCUAGGUCAGUGAGUAGUGGGGACAUAAUUAGUCUUCACCUGUGCUUGAGCAGGAACCUUGGAGUCCUGCCCAGCUCUGUACCUAUAUAUCUUAGGAGUAGAUAGUUGAUCUAGCACAGAAAGCCUGGACCCUCUAGCACAAAACCUCUAUGUUCCAACUAGAUUCUUCUCCCUUUUCCGAACACUAGAAAGCCGAUGUGCCAGUGUGCGAUUCCCAGAACUAUGGCCUUCUGGGUCUCAUCUGUAUUGGUUUCUUGAGAGGCUGGGGGCACAUUAAGACAAGGUCUUGCCAUAUAGCCCAGACUGGCCUUUGAACUCAAAGAGUUCUGCAUUGGUUGAAUGCUGGAAUUACAGCUGUGAGCCAUCAUAUACCCAGCUAGGAUGUGUCAUCUUGUCGUGCCAUCCUCUGAUCCUCACCAUGGCAUUUCGAUGAGUGAUUAAGAUGUGCUACAGAGAGAGGCGGUGGCUUCCCCUGGGCCACAGGCAUGGAAAGUACAGAGAAAGCUUAAAAGGUGGGCCACUUCCUGCAGCAGCGCCCUCUCCCUACAACUAGAGUUCUGCCAAGCAGCAGGCUGGGACCGGUUUGUGAAGGACAGCUGGGGAGAUGAACUCAGCAUGCCAAGGUGGAGCACAGUGACUUCCUGCCUUCAUUCUGCAGCACCGGCUCCCUGUAAAAGAGCUCAGGCGUCUCACAUAUGCAGGCUUCUCACACUCUCCUGCCCUAACCUGUCUUCACGCGCUCCAUGUUUAGUGGCUUCCAGGAGAGCCACCAGCGCAUGCAUACAACUCCUUGCAUGCUUUUGCACAAGCUCCUUUUGUCUUCUAAGACACACCCAUGCCAGCCUUCCAGUCCAUAUCUGCAGCCACCUGCUCAGGAGCCUGCUCUGAUAAUAUCACCAGCCAAGAUGUCUACGUCAUCUCCAUCCCUGAGUGCUGCCAAACUGCCUCUAUAUCCAUGUGACCAUAGCGAUUGCCUGUUCAGUUCCUGCUAUGGGCCAGGUCCUCAGUAGCUUGAACUCUGGCCCUCACCUGAGUUGAGGAUUAGUACUAAUGGCUCCAUUUUACUGGUAAGAAAACUGAGGCCCUGAAAAUCUCAGUCACUAGUGUAAUACCUCACGGUGGAGAGCUCUUUGGUACCCGAGGCUUUUUGGUACCUCCAGGGGUAGCAUGGUUCACUGCUCUAUGCUAUCACCCAGCAAGUUGCCAAGCAGUAAGUACAGUGGCGAUAUGGGGCACACAUGGAGAGACCAGGCUCCCAGGAAAGACUGCCCAGAUCAGAUGCCAUUUCUUAGGUUUGGGGAAGAAAAAUCACUGCUGUUGGACAGGUGCCUGGAAGGCAAGCUCUCAUGGAAGCUGUAGAAAAGCAGAUGAGGGUGGAACACGCACCUGUGCAAGAUCACAGAGACCAGAUAGUAUCUGGGCUCCCAAAGUGACAGGCAUUCCUGCACUCUGCAACCUGCCUCGGAGCAUCUUUAACCGUGUUCUUUAGGAAGGACACAUGGUCCCAGAGGCCUUGAGGAUGCUGUUGUUCAGUGAGUGGCUCCAGUUCUUUCCCCCCUCAAUUAAAAUGAAAGAGAAGAAAAAAAGAGAACCCGAAACAUUGUUUCCAGUUGUGGCUGCUGCCAACUGGAAUGAGAAUCCCACUGAGUAAGAUGGAUGGAGUAGGCGCUAGCCACCCAGAGACCUUGCCUUGGUCCUUCUGCAAGUACCAGGUGCAGUUUGGGAGGGCUGGAGGACCACCGCCCACCAUCAUAGUUUCCUUCCUCACCCACCUGUAGCCUUGGAUGAGCUGGACCCCUUCCCUGGCAGGUAGCCCCUCACUCUAUCAAGAAAGAUCUGUAGAUACCUGUCUGAGGGUGCUGCAAAAAUCUCUCUUCUAGGACAUCACUUUAAACACUGGUUUAAUUCCAGGGUGAACAUGGGAGGAUUUCCUACCCCCCCCCCCCCAGGGAGGAAGGCCAUCUGCAGGGGUGGAGGAAUGGGAGCCUAGAGGCACAUCCAUCAGCUCUCUGCAGAGACAGCUACCCAUUUGCUCUUCAGAAAGGGCUCCCCAGACUCCACGGCCAUCACCUUCUGCUUACAUCUCUUUGAAGAAUCUCUCUUGCACCGGAACUCUGACCUUUCCAGACCAUGGACAAGUCUGACCCAGGUUACCUCAAUGAUCAGCCCUGCAAGAGCAACAUUCUGGUCACUGGCUAGGGUCUAAGAGGAAGCUGCUACCAGAACUGGCUUCCUACAUGCCCUCCUCCCCUGGGAAAAGCACUUCUGAGUUUGUAAAGAGCACUUCCUGUCCCGUGUAAGUGCCACAACAGCCUCAGGAGGCAGGCAGAUUGUACCAUCCACUUUGUGGAAGAAGAGGAAGAAGAGGAGGAGGAGGAGGAGAAGGAGGAGGAAAAUGGCUUGGUGGUUUGGCCAAUAUAACACACAUAGGGGAUGGGCAGGGUCUUGUCAGGAUUUGAACUCUGAUCACUUGAUUCCAUGUCACCAACCGAGGUGAUGUUUCAAAAGAUGUCACUCCUAGCCCCAGAUGUUGCCACGAGACAGGAUCUCAGAGACUUUGGUUCAUUCAACAAAUAAUUGUUGAUUAUAAGCUGUGUCAAAUACAGAGCUUAGUUCUAGGGAUCCAAUAAAGAGGAGACAGAUGGGAUCC
rnacentral:lncRNA from 1 species